rnacentral:rRNA from 1 species
CUGCAUGGCUGUCGUCAGCUCGUGUCGUGAGAUGUUGGGUUAAGUCCCGCAACGAGCGCAACCCUUGUCCCUAGUUGCUACGCAAGGGCACUCUAGGGAGACUGCCGGUGACAAACCGGAGGAAGGUGGGGAUGACGUCAAGUCCUCAUGGCCCUUAUGGGUAGGGCUUCACACGUCAUACAAUGGACGGUACAGAGGGUUGCCAACCCGCGAGGGGGAGCCAAUCCCAGAAAGCCGUUCGUAGUCCGGAUCGCAGUCUGCAACUCGACUGCGUGAAGUCGGAAUCGCUAGUAAUCGCGGAUCAGCAUGUCGCGGUGAAUACGUUCCCGGGUCUUGUACACACCGCCCGUCACACCAUGGGAGCGGGAUGUACCAGAAGUAGGUAGGCUAACCGCAAGG